CGAAGGUAGCAUAGUCAGUAGUCUUUUAAUUGGAGGCUUGAAUGAAUGGUUGGACGAGGGACAGACUGUCUCCUUUAUGUGAUUUGAAUUUAACUUUUGAGUGAAAAGGCUCAAAUUAUUUAGUGGGACGAUAAGACCCUAUAAAACUUGAUAUAAGUGAAUCUUGAUUUGUGAUUUGUGUGAAAAAUAGUGUUGCUUUACUUAUAUUUUGCUGGGGCGGCAUAGAUAUAAAAUGUAACUGUCUGUUAAAUUUAAUAGUGUUAAUUAGUUUGUGAUCCUUCCUUGUGGAUUAGAAGAAUAAGUUACUUUAGGGAUAACAGCGUGAUUUUCUUUGAGAGUUCUUAUCGACAAGAGUAGUUGCGACCUCGAUGUU
rnacentral:rRNA from 3 species